rnacentral:lncRNA from 1 species
CGGUGGCAGCGCCGACUGCCGGCCUCCGACCCCUCGACGGCGGCGUCGGGCUCUACUCGAGCCCGGUGGAAGCCCGACCCGCAGGCCUCACGAGCAGCAAACCCAGAGCCGCCGAGUCAGCGGGCUGAUCACCGGAGCGGUUCCGCCUCUACCGCAUUUCCGACAGAAACACAGCUUAUCGGUGACCGACUGCGGGUCUCAGCGUCAUUUAUAACCCGCAGCUACGCUUCACUUGCCGCCGUCACUAACGCAGAUUUAAUGGCUGCGGAAAAGCGACAGAAAACACGAAGCCCGCGAAAAAACACUCGAGACAAAGUUUAGUGCGCGGAUGUCGUUCAAACUGCGCUGCGGCCGAACUUUUAAUACGAGUCCGCGCAGGUGACGCGACUUUUAGGAUUAGCUGCUGAGCUAACUCCGAAACCUCCAGGCAGAGAGCAGAAAACCGCUCAGCAGCUGUCCGGAACACUCCACUCCUCGGCCGGCCACAGGCUGCGGGGCGAGUCGGUCGCACGGUUCCCCAGAAACACCGAGCGGACCUCCAGAGGAGCCGAAGAGCUGCUGGAAACUCACAGUUUGAAAGAUUUUUACAAACAUAUAGUCCUUGACCAAAUAGAGGUAGUUCACCAGCUGUGAAAACAGCGCCGCUGUCCGGUCACACCGGGAACUGCAGACCAGCGACGAGAGGGGGAGAGAAAAAGCUCCUAAAAUCUUCCAUCUGCUUCGAGUCGUCAUCUCCAAAAAAUGGUGAAACCGGACACCGGGAGGCUCGACCGCCUUUAACCCCUUCACUGCCUCCCCGAGAGCCCAGAACCAGAGAGCAGAGACCAGAACUGACACAGACACUGUUUGUUUGUUUGUUUGUUUGUUUACACACUGUGUUGGGAUGUGAGUUUAACCUUAAUAGAAAUAUUGAACCUUUCUCUCUGUGUUUAUCUGCUGCUUGUUGUUAUUGAUUAUAUGACACAGUUACACUAUUUAUUACUGAUUACACAUAAAUGCAUCAGUAAUAAUUAAUAAUAUCAAUAAACACCAACAGAGGUCAUUUUUCUGCAUUAUUGGUGCUUUUAAUUAAGAAUAUUUAGCUCUAAUACAAACUGCUGUUUGUGUAUAAGUGAAUAUAAAUCUGUUACUUUAUAAAUGAAGCUGUGAUUUUAAUGUGUAAACGACCUUUAAUGGAGCUGGUUAUUGAUACUUCUACCACUGACUGACUUUAUGCAUCUUUAUUAAUAAUUAUUAUUAUUAGAACUUUUGUUAUUGUUAUUAUUGCAGGUUAUUGAUAUUUUACUUUAUAUAUCGAUGGAAAUAAAUGUUUUUACUUUAAACAUCACCUGGAUUCAGUUUGUUCUGUACAUAAAUACAUAAACAAUAUUCACCAUCAUCACACACUGUUACUAUGGUUACUACUGUACUUAUAUAACUUAUAUAACAUUGAAAAACUUUAAUAAUAAAUAAACUGAUUUGAAUUUUUCUUACUGACAGUAAAC